rnacentral:sRNA from 2 species
AUAUCUCUCUGUACGGGAAGGAUGAGAAGCUUCGACUAAGGUUCGAUUCGAGCGCAGCGAGAAAGCGUUGCCGCAGGCAACGACCCGAAGGGCGAAGCGCGCAGCGCUGAGU